ensembl:snRNA U6 U6 spliceosomal RNA
GUGCUUGCUUCGGCAGCACAUGUACUAAAAUUGGAAAGAUACAGAGAUGAAUAGCAUGGUCCUGUGCAAAGAUGACAUGCAAAUUUGUGAGGCAUCACAUUAAAAA